UUAAUGAGAGUUUGAUCCUGGCUCAGGACGAACGCUGGCGGCGUGCCUAAUACAUGCAAGUAGAACGCUGAGGUUUGGUGUUUACACUAGACUGAUGAGUUGCGAACGGGUGAGUAACGCGUAGGUAACCUGCCUCAUAGCGGGGGAUAACUAUUGGAAACGAUAGCUAAUACCGCAUAAGAGUAAUUAACACAUGUUAGUUAUUUAAAAGGAGCAAUUGCUUCACUGUGAGAUGGACCUGCGUUGUAUUAGCUAGUUGGUGAGGUAAAGGCUCACCAAGGCGACGAUACAUAGCCGACCUGAGAGGGUGAUCGGCCACACUGGGACUGAGACACGGCCCAGACUCCUACGGGAGGCAGCAGUAGGGAAUCUUCGGCAAUGGACGGAAGUCUGACCGAGCAACGCCGCGUGAGUGAAGAAGGUUUUCGGAUCGUAAAGCUCUGUUGUUAGAGAAGAACGUUGGUAGGAGUGGAAAAUCUACCAAGUGACGGUAACUAACCAGAAAGGGACGGCUAACUACGUGCCAGCAGCCGCGGUAAUACGUAGGUCCCGAGCGUUGUCCGGAUUUAUUGGGCGUAAAGCGAGCGCAGGCGGUUCUUUAAGUCUGAAGUUAAAGGCAGUGGCUUAACCAUUGUACGCUUUGGAAACUGGAGGACUUGAGUGCAGAAGGGGAGAGUGGAAUUCCAUGUGUAGCGGUGAAAUGCGUAGAUAUAUGGAGGAACACCGG
rnacentral:rRNA from 1 species